CACGUAGGGCGCAAGCGUUGUCCGGAAUUAUUGGGCGUAAAGAGCUCGUAGGCGGUCUGUUGCGUCCGCUGUGAAAACUCGGGGCUUAACCCCGAGCCUGCAGUGGAUACGGGCAGACUAGAGGUAGGUAGGGGAGAAUGGAAUUCCCGGUGUAGCGGUGAAAUGCGCAGAUAUCGGGAGGAACACCGGUGGCGAAGGCGACACUCUGGGCCGGUACUGACGCUGAGGAGCGAAAGCGUGGGGAGCAAACGGGG
rnacentral:rRNA from 1 species